AAACAGGCAGUGUAGCUUCUCUCUCCAGAGGGGAACGCCCCAACUCUUGCCUUGACAAGAUUUUAUUGGAUUCAAUUUGCACAGGAAUAAAGCUCAUCAAUCAUUGUCAGGCAGAAAUGAUUAAACAAUAGAUAACAUUCAAAGAAUUCUGAGGGUUUAUUCUGAGUCAGAGUCUAUUAGCUAAAGUGCUAUAAAACUUUGGAAAACAAACUCAUUUCCUCCUCAGACCCUUAUCAUUUAAUUAAGAACAUUCUUAGCAAAGCAGUUUUCACAGGACUUUAUAUAUUCUUUAUCAGGCCCAAUUACCCGGGGAGCCCACCCCUUCCAGCACAGGGCUAUACUGCCCUCUGUCAUUGUUUCAGGCUUAAGUCAGGCAGGGGAAGUAACGCAGCCAAGAGAUUAGGAGACUACUCCCAGGCAGAAGGAGGACUCAGGCUUUGUCAAAGCUGAGGGGCGAGGACCCAUCACCCCCUUUUGCUGUAUCCCCCCAAGUCCUUCCCUGAGGGCCUCCACAUGAUCAUGCCUGCACUGGGUCAUUCCCCCCUUAGGAAAUCUUACCUAUCAUUGGCUAACUGAUCAAGCAUUGGGG